rnacentral:rRNA from 1 species
UACGUAGGGGGCAAGCGUUAUCCGGAUUUACUGGGUGUAAAGGGCGUGCAGCCGGGAAUGCAAGUCAGAUGUGAAAUCCCGCGGCUCAACCGCGGAACUGCAUUUGAAACUGUGUUUCUUGAGUACUGGAGAGGCAGACGGAAUUCCUAGUGUAGCGGUGAAAUGCGUAGAUAUUAGGAGGAACACCAGUGGCGAAGGCGGUCUGCUGGACAGCAACUGACGGUGAGGCGCGAAAGCGUGGGGAGCAAACGGG